GGCUCAGGACGAACGCUGGCGGCGUGCUUAACACAUGCAAGUCGAACGAUGAUGCCCAGCUUGCUGGGCGGAUUAGUGGCGAACGGGUGAGUAAUACGUGAGUAACCUGCCCUUGACUCUGGGAUAAGCCUGGGAAACCGGGUCUAAUACUGGAUACUACUUCGCACCGCAUGGUGGGGGGUGGAAAGGGUUUUACUGGUUUUGGAUGGGCUCACGGCCUAUCAGCUUGUUGGUGGGGUAAUGGCUCACCAAGGCGACGACGGGUAGCCGGCCUGAGAGGGUGACCGGCCACACUGGGACUGAGACACGGCCCAGACUCCUACGGGAGGCAGCAGUGGGGAAUAUUGCACAAUGGGCGAAAGCCUGAUGCAGCGACGCCGCGUGAGGGAUGACGGCCUUCGGGUUGUAAACCUCUUUCAGUAGGGAAGA
rnacentral:rRNA from 1 species